AGCUUGCUACCUGACCUAGCGGCGGACGGGUGAGUAAUGCUUAGGAAUCUGCCUAUUAGUGGGGGACAACAUUCCGAAAGGAAUGCUAAUACCGCAUACGCCCUACGGGGGAAAGCAGGGGAUCUUCGGACCUUGCGCUAAUAGAUGAGCCUAAGUCAGAUUAGCUAGUUGGUGGGGUAAAGGCCUACCAAGGCGACGAUCUGUAGCGGGUCUGAGAGGAUGAUCCGCCACACUGGGACUGAGACACGGCCCAGACUCCUACGGGAGGCAGCAGUGGGGAAUAUUGGACAAUGGGCGAAAGCCUGAUCCGGCCAUGCCGCGUGUGUGAAGAAGGCCUUUUGGUUGUAAAGCACUUUAAGCGAGGAGGAGGCUACUUGGAUUAAUACUCUAGGAUAGUGGACGUUACUCGCAGAAUAAGCACCGGCUAACUCUGUGCCAGCAGCCGCGGUAAUACAGAGGGUGCGAGCGUUAAUCGGAUUUACUGGGCGUAAAGCGUGCGUAGGCGGCUUUUUAAGUCGGAUGUGAAAUCCCUGAGCUUAACUUAGGAAUUGCAUUCGAUACUGGGAAGCUAGAGUAUGGGAGAGGAUGGUAGAAUUCCAGGUGUAGCGGUGAAAUGCGUAGAGAUCUGGAGGAAUACCGAUGGCGAAGGCAGCCAUCUGGCCUAAUACUGACGCUGAGGUACGAAAGCAUGGGGAGCAAACAGGAUUAGAUACCCUGGUAGUCCAUGCCGUAAACGAUGUCUACUAGCCGUUGGGGCCUUUGAGGCUUUAGUGGCGCAGCUAACGCGAUAAGUAGACCGCCUGGGGAGUACGGUCGCAAGACUAAAACUCAAAUGAAUUGACGGGGGCCCGCACAAGCGGUGGAGCAUGUGGUUUAAUUCGAUGCAACGCGAAGAACCUUACCUGGUCUUGACAUAGUAAGAACUUUCCAGAGAUGGAUUGGUGCCUUCGGGAACUUACAUACAGGUGCUGCAUGGCUGUCGUCAGCUCGUGUCGUGAGAUGUUGGGUUAAGUCCCGCAACGAGCGCAACCCUUUUCCUUAUUUGCCAGCGGGUUAAGCCGGGAACUUUAAGGAUACUGCCAGUGACAAACUGGAGGAAGGCGGGGACGACGUCAAGUCAUCAUGGCCCUUACGACCAGGGCUACACACGUGCUACAAUGGUCGGUACAAAGGGUUGCUACCUAGCGAUAGGAUGCUAAUCUCAAAAAGCCGAUCGUAGUCCGGAUUGGAGUCUGCAACUC
rnacentral:rRNA from 1 species